CUCCGCCCCCUUCCCGGAAAAUGAAAACUUUCCACCUAUGAGACACAGUGCAACGUGUGUGCCAUAAAUAAUCACCUCUCAAAGUAUGCUAAACACAUUUUUAGAUAGCAACCGGGGUUAGGUUCUUCAUAAGUUUUCUUUGGCUGAAAUAACAACGCAAAUGAGCUUACACAUAAGUGCAGAUACGCAUACCUACAAGCCAAAACAUGUCACUUCAGUCUGGAGGAGCGAUAUAUUCGCUUAAGAGCCGCGCCUAUACCGUCAGAUGCAAUUCUAUGUAGCGCUUUCGCGGUGCGCGGAGACGCCGAUAGUGGCGCCACGACCUGGGGCUUCAGAGAAGGUGGCGACCGCGUGAUCAGGUUGCGGCCCUUCACGUCUUCCGGGCUGCACUCACGUCUGUCAACUUGUAAAGAGAGCCGAAGAGCAGUUCUCGUUUGACCACCACAAAAACGAAAGGAGACAUACAUGGCCGGAAAAGGAAGAAGAAAGCGACCGGCGUCAGGGACCGAACAAAUCCAGCCCUUGGAAAUGCUCGACUUGGAGUUGCUGCGGCUGCUGCGGCUCCUCAUCAUCGUACAGAUUUGGUGUAUGGAACAAAGGAGGCGUCUGCUGGAGGAGCUUAUGGAAUCGAUGGAUAAUAUUCAAGAAUAGCAUAUGCUGCGGCUUCUCUCUUUUUUAAAGUACUUUAUUGAAACGUAAUAAACCUUCUUCUCCUGAAA